AUGAAGCAGGUGGCAAGAGUGACUGUACUCCUGACUCUGGCCACAUGGAGCCUUGCUAAGACCACCCAGCCCCUCUCCAUGGACUCCUAUGAAGGGCAAGAAGUGAAUGUGUCCUGCAGCCACACAAACAUCGCUACAAACGAGUACAUCUCCUGGUACCGGCAGGUCCCCCAUCAGGGACCACAGUUUAUUAUUCAAGGAUAUAAGGUCCAUGUGGCAAAUGAAGUGGCGUCUCUGUUUAUUUCUGCGGACCGGAAGUUCAGCACUCUGAGCCUGCCCCAGGUUUCCCUGAGAGACACUGCUGUGUACUACUGCAUCAUGGCUGACACACACAUUGGAGAGCGGUCCCUAUUACUCAUUGGAAUCGGUGGUGGAGAUAUGUCCCCCACCUCCGCCCAUCAACACUUGAAGCAGGUGGGAGAGCUGGCCCUAAAGUCAUAA